CAUGUACUCUGUAAAUUUUUUAGGAGGAGCAAAAUAGAGGCAAGCCCAAUUGGGAGCAUCUAAAUGAAGAUUUACAUGUACUAAUCACUGUGGAAGAUGCUCAGAACAGAGCAGAAAUCAAAUUGAAGAGAGCAGUUGAAGAAGUGAAGAAAUUAUUGGUACCUGCAGCAGAAGGAGAAGACAGCCUGAAGAAGAUGCAGCUGAUGGAGCUUGCGAUUCUGAAUGGCACCUACAGAGAUGCCAACAUUAAAUCACCAGCCCUUGCCUUUUCUCUUGCAGCAACAGCCCAGGCUGCUCCAAGGAUCAUUACUGGGCCUGCGCCGGUUCUCCCACCAGCUGCCCUGCGUACUCCUACGCCAGCUGGCCCUACCAUAAUGCCUUUGAUCAGACAAAUACAGACCGCUGUCAUGCCAAACGGAACUCCUCACCCAACUGCUGCAAUAGUUCCUCCAGGGCCCGAAGCUGGUUUAAUCUAUACACCCUAUGAGUACCCCUACACAUUGGCACCAGCUACAUCAAUCCUUGAGUAUCCUAUUGAACCUAGUGGUGUAUUAGAGUGGAUUGAAAUGCCAGUCAUGCCUGAUAUUU
rnacentral:sRNA from 1 species